GGAGCGUGAAUCUGAUGUGGACCUUCCUCCACCUUCUCUUCCUGGAGCAAACUCUUCACCCCAGGCCUGCUCUCCUCUACAAAACAUACAGACAACACCAGGUCCUGGGUCCCUGGAGGACACCACCAAUACUGUGAGGUGAUGGUGAGGUGAUGGUGGCUGAUGCACAGGGGUAAAUGCGAGACGAUCAACACCUUCAUUCAUGAGGAUGUGGCCACGUUGGCAUAUCUCUGCAGAAUUCCACCUCUGCCCUCUACCAACAGCUGCUGUGUGCACAACAGUCACAAAGCUCCCUUCUCCCCAGCGGGCUCCUGUGGAGGGGAUUAGGGACAACAUCCAACGGGGGAAGCCCGCUGCCUUUCCAGAAACAAAGCCCUGA
rnacentral:lncRNA from 1 species